GAGGCUAUAGCUCAGUGGUAGAGUGUGUGCUUAGCAUGCAUGAGGUCCUGGGUUCAAUCCCCAGUACCUCCA
rnacentral:tRNA from 1 species